rnacentral:lncRNA from 1 species
AGAGAUGGACCUCAAUACAGCUGAGGACACACGCGAACAGAUGCGAUCCGAUUUCAAUUAAAAAUUUAAUCUUAACUUUUGUUAAACCAAUUCAAUAACACUUAAUUGAAGAUCAUAUACUAGUUAAACAUAAAGGCAAACAAAUUCCAACAGUAUAACCGAACACAUACAAUAUGAUUAUAUAUAUACUUGUUACUUUCAAACAUAUAUCGCAACAUAUACACGGAUUUCGGAUAAAAAAUUGAACAAAUUGCAACACGAACAGAAGAAAUAUAGCUUGAACCAACUGAUCAGAUCAGGACCAAUGACGACAACCUCGAAACUUCAAUAAUUGGCUCCGAGCAGAUCUCACAACGAGUUCCAAAAUGGACUCAAACUAAUAAAACUUCAGCAGCAGAAAAUGAGGCUCACGACCACCCAGAAAUUGAACUGCAGAAAGGGAGGAAGCGAGGGAUCGAGAGAAGGAAUGCUGAUUUCGACCGGCACCUAAGAGGCCGUGAAUUAUGAAAGCUGUGAAAUUGCAAGACUUUUGCGGCAAAGACCAGGCUUCUUCAUAAGCUAGGGUGGCGAUGGAAGGGUUUGGCCGGUGGAUAAACCGUGACCAUAUGGUUCAAACCCGGUUCAGAAAUCUAAGGACCUUGACUGGGUUGGUUCUGCAACUGAUGAUUUUUGGGAGAGGGUGGCCGUUAGCUGCUGUGGAGCAGAUGAAGCGGCUACUUCUCUAGGCUAAAAAUGGGAUCAACAACUACUGGUUGAGGGGAAGGGCAGCGAAUUGGGUCUGUGUAUGAGGAAGGGAACCUAUUUGGGGAGGGUGGGGAUCCCUUGUUUUGGUUCUGUGCGGCUGAUCUCACCAGGUAGGGAUUUCUAGGUUAAUUGUUUUAAAUGUGGAGUGAAGGGGUAUUUAGGUUAGGGGAUAUGGGCUUAUGGAUUGGAGAAGAAAGAAAUCGGGCUUAUUCAAAUUUUGGAUCAACUUUUGUCUAAGAAUGAUCCUCUCUUG